rnacentral:rRNA from 1 species
UACGAAGGGUGCAAGCGUUACUCGGAAUUACUGGGCGUAAAGCGUGCGUAGGUGGUGGGUUAAGUCUGUCGUGAAAGCCCCGGGCUCAACCUGGGAAUGGCGAUGGAUACUGGCUCGCUAGAGUGCGGUAGAGGAGAGUGGAAUUCCCGGUGUAGCAGUGAAAUGCGUAGAGAUCGGGAGGAACAUCAGUUGCGGAAGGCGGCUCUCUGGACCAGCACUGACACUGAGGCACGAAAGCGUGGGGAGCAAACAGG